rnacentral:rRNA from 1 species
UACGUAGGGCGCGAGCGUUGUCCGGAAUUAUUGGGCGUAAAGAGCUCGUAGGCGGCCUGUUGCGUCUGCUGUGAAAUCCCGGGGCUUAACCCCGGGCGUGCAGUGGAUACGGGCAGGCUGGAGGCAGGCAGGGGAGAAUGGAAUUCCCGGUGUAGCGGUGAAAUGCGCAGAUAUCGGGAGGAACACCGGUGGCGAAGGCGGUUCUCUGGCUCACAACUGACGAUCAGGCACGAAAGCGUGGGGAGCAAACAGG